rnacentral:rRNA from 1 species
UGGCUCAUUAAAUCAGUUAUCGUUUAUUUGAUAGUACCUUACUACUUGGAUACCCGUGGUAAUUCUAGAGCUAAUACAUGCAAAAAACCCCAACUUCGGAAGGGGUGUAUUUAUUAGAUAAAAAACCAAUGCCCUUCGGGGCUCUUUGGUGAUUCAUGAUAACUUAACGGAUCGCAUGGCCUUGCGCCGGCGACGGUUCAUUCAAAUUUCUGCCCUAUCAACUUUCGAUGGUAAGGUAUUGGCUUACCAUGGUUUCAACGGGUAACGGAUUUUUAGGGAAAGAUCCCGGAGAGGGAGCCUGAGAAACGGCUACCACAUCCAAGGAAGGCAGCAGGCGCGCAAAUUACCCAAUCCCGACACGGGGAGGUAGUGACAAUAAAUACUGAUACAGGGCUCUUUUGGGUCUUGUAAUCGGAAUGAGUACAAUUUAAAUACCUUAACGAGGAACAAUUGGAGGGCAAGUCUGGUGCCAGCAGCCGCGGUAAUUCCAGCUCCAAUAGCGUAUAUUAAAGUUGUUGCAGUUAAAAAGCUCGUAGUUGAACCUUGGGCCUGGCUGGCCGGUCCGCCUCACCGCGUGUACUGGUCCGGCCGGGCCUUUCCUUCUGGAGAACCGCAUGCCCUUCACUGGGUGUGUCGGGGAACCAGGACUUUUACUUUGAGAAAAUUAGAGUGUUCAAAGCAGGCCUUUGCUCGAAUACGUUAGCAUGGAAUAAUAGAAUAGGACGUGCGGUCCUAUUUUGUUGGUUUCUAGAACCGCCGUAAUGAUUAAUAGGGAUAGUCGGGGGCGUCAGUAUUCAAUUGUCAGAGGUGAAAUUCUUGGAUCUAUUGAAGACUAACUACUGCGAAAGCAUUCGCCAAGGAUGUUUUCAUUAAUCAGUGAACGAAAGUUAGGGGAUCGAAGACGAUCAGAUACCGUCGUAGUCUUAACCGUAAACUAUGC